GCACAGUGAUGUGUUUUUAUAAUCCUACUGCCAGGAAGGCAGAGACAGAUGGGCAGGUCCCUGGGGCUCACUGGGCAGCUAGCUUAGCCUACUUAGUCAUGUUCCAAGCCAAUGACAGACCUCGUCUCAAAAAAAAAAAUGUGAAUGCUAAUAUACAUUUAUAUGGCUAAACUGCCGUGUGCUGUUUGAACUCACUGAGGAAGGUAAGCAGCUGCCCUGUACUGUUUGAGCUCCCUGAGAAGCUGCCUCUGGAAGCAGGGUUGCCCCAUCCCCAUUUCAGACCCAAGAAUGUUUGUCUCAAGGUGUCCUCCAAGGCCCCUUGCCUGGGGAUGGACUGGCCCCCUAACUCUGUGACGGGGAUGGAAGAGAACAGCAAAGCAACCCAAGAGGGAAAUCGCUGUGCCCUGGAAAUUGGCUAGAAUGGAAACCAUUCCACAGAGGUUGCUAUUGUUUACCUCACAGUGUAAAAGUGCCUGAAGAAGAGGGGAAGAGAAGCAGGAAGUUCAUCCAUGGGGAAAACUGCACCAGGAACUCCAGCUGGCUGCCUCAAUUUCCCCAGUUGGUUUCUGCUAGAUGUUACGCACUCAUGACUGAUGCUGUCAACUCUCUGUGCUGCUGUUUAUUCUUGUACUUGGACGCAUCACCCAAGGGGAUACCGAUCUGCCCAGAACUCCCUCUGUUAGAAACUCCAGAUGGCUGGCUUAAAGAGACUCCCCUAGUCAGUUUCUGCUGGGUGUUUUUAGUACCCAAUCUAAUGAUGCUUUUCUGUCUGUCUCCCUAUCUAUCUACCCAUAUACUUGAUAUUUAUUCCUUUACUUUGGCUUGCUGUAUAUUUCAUAAACUCACUUACACAAAACCAAAAAUAAAGCUAUCAUAGAAUUUUCUCCAGGUUUUGCAUAACAUGGUGCAUGAAUAAUAAUACCCAGCAUUGUCCUCUAGCCUACACACACACACACACACACACACACACACACACACACACACAGAGAGAGAGAGAGAGAGAGAGAGAGAGAGGAGUUUCUUAUUAUAAGAAAAACAAAUAAAGUAAAAUAUUAAUUUUAUGAAGUAAAUCUUGUGAUUAUGUGUGUGUGUGUGUGUGUGUUUGUGUGUGUGUGUGUGUGUGUGUGUGUGUGUGUGUGUGUGUGUGUUAUGCAUGCACAAGCACACGUCUAAGUUUCUCUCUUGACCUCUUUGGACUUUUUAACCUUCACUUAUUACCAUCUCCAUCACCGUCAUCUCUGCACACUGUCCUCCUGCCUCCUCUCAUCCCCUCCAUUGUCCCUGUCUACCCCCUGUCUCUUCCUAAACUGGACAUCACACAAGACAGGGCUUUUCAUUCCUUUAUUUGUUAAAUCAUUUUCUGUUCUCUGCUCUCCAUUUUAAGAGCAAAACAAGUGGAACACUUUGUUUCUGCAUCACGAAAUCAAAUUAAGAUGCUUUUGUGCUUUUCCUUCUGUGGCCUCUGAGGUGUCCCCCUGGAUUUCUGCCUGGGAAGCCCUGUGUCCCUCCUCAUCCAGUGGGAAUACUUUAAAAUAUGUAGGUUGCCUCAAAUAGGAACAAUAGGCUUAGCUAGUUGGAGCUCAAACUUGGCAUUUAAAGAUCAAUCCAAGCUGGUCUUUUCUACUUAUUAGGAAGGGGGGGUAGAUUUUUGGACUCCAAUAGGAGGCCUAGUUCCUCUAGAUCCUUCUAUCCAGCUAGAGUUUUAUAAAAACCUUCUAAACAUGUCUAUGACUCUAUGCCAAGCUUCUAACAGGGUGAGGUACUGUCAAGACACAUGCAGAGGCAGGUGGUAGCCAUGCCUGUCCAACCCACAGAAAAACCUGCCCAGCUGUUGUUUCAAGAAUACGGUAUCUAUAGGAUGGGGAGACACUUAGAUAAGCCAUGAUCUCUCUCUCUCUCUCUCUCUCUCUCUCUCUCUCUCUCUCUCUCUCUCUCUCUCUCCAUCCCUCUGUUUUCUUGACACCAGAAAUCCAGCUCUGGCUGGCUGAUCUGGAAAUCACUAUGUAGACCAGGCUGGCAUCAAGCUUACAGUGAUUCUCCUGCCACUGCCUCCUGAGUGCUGGGAUUCAGGCGUGUUCUGCCGCAUUGGCUUCAAAUAAUGAUCUUCCAGUGUGACAGCAGUGGUGGGAAACAUGCAGGUGGCAUGAGAGCCACUCAUAGGAGGCAGAGCCCCUCUGUCCUAGACCACUGAAGAGGAGGGGGAGGCAGCUGGACCCCGGCAGAUGCAAACAGCUGGAGGCAGGGAGGGCAUGCACAAGGGCAUUGAGGUGUGUAAGAGCAUUCCUUUGUGAUCCCCAGGGGUGUCAUGGGGGUGAGGUGUGUAAGAACAUUCCUUUGUGAUCCCCAGGGGUGUCAUGGGGGUGAGGUGUGUAAGAGCAUUCCUUUGUGAUCCCAGGGUGUCAUGGGGGUGAGGUGUGUAAGAGCAUUCCUUUGUGAUUCCCAGGGAUGUCAUGGGUGGGGAGGGGUUGUCCAACCCUGCCAUAGAGCUUCCCAGGCCUCUGUGACACCUGUCACAAGCAGUGUCUGGUCCAGCAUCAUCCAUGUUGUUCUGUGAACGAUGACUCUGUCCUCCUCCACUCCCCAAAUAAGGAGCUUUGAGAUGUGCUAGCUAUACUGGCAACCACCAGUCCCAGACUUGGAUCUGAUGCCCAAUCUGCUCUCCUCUUAGGAGAGAGAAUCCUAAAUGUUCCUGCAGGCUGAGAGCCAGGCAGCCAUGUCUCUUGCUGUGUGCUGGCUGUCCCAAUCUUCAGGGCCUCUCUCCAGGCGGCUCUCCUCUGUGGUGGAGAGAAUCAGAGUGCUUGCAGUUUGCUCAGUGGAGGCUUCACCAUGGAGACUGGGUGCUGUCCCCAGGGCUCUGCAGCUUUCCAGCUAGAAAACUCUGAUGGAAAGAGUGGUCAUUUCCACUGUCCACUGAGGGCCAAAGUAGUCUGACCCUCAGAGUCUGAUCCCAUGUAUUUGCUUUGCAGAAUAAAAGGAGACAGACAGUCAGCUCACUGCCUGCUGCCAAGACAACUGCCACAAAAUCCCUGGAUGUCAGCAGAAUAAAGGGUGGGUUGACAAAACCCUGCCCAGAAGUCUUCCUCCGAAGAACCCACCAUCCCAUCUUUCUCACACCCCUCCUUCAGUAGUUAGCCUGAUUAGCUCCCUCCCACCCCAUUAUACCUGCUCCUCAUUGAAUAGCAGCUCACUACUUGGAAAGCAGUGGUACCCGGCACAACACCACGCCUGCUGCAUAACUCAUCCCAUGGAGUUCAAGGAAGGUGUCAUCCCCAGUUCAGAUGGGAAAGGAAGAACUCUUUAGACUGGACCAGAAAGCUCUGCCUUUGAGUUCUGAGCUCCACAAAGGACGCUGGGUCCUUUGUCCCUUAAAAAGGAAACAUGUGUCAGGCAGUGGUGGUACACACCACCAGCACUUGGGAGGCAGAGGCAGGAGGAUCUCUGUGAGUUCAAGGCCAGCCUGGUCUACAGACCUAGUUCCAGGGCAGCUAGGGUGGUUACACAGAGAAACUGUUUCAAAAAACAAAACAAAACAAAAAGGAAGCAUGUAUCUAUUCAUCUGUCUGUCUGUCUGUCUGUCUGUCUGUCUGUCUGUCUAGCAUAAGUGUGCAUACUCGCUGACCACAGUGUGCACAUGGAGGAGUCUUCUCCUUCUGCCAUGUGGGUCCCAGGGAUUGAACUCACAACCUCAGCUCUCUGAACAAACCUCUUACCUCCAUGAGCUGGCUCACCUGCCCAGGCCUUUUUGCUUUUUAGCAUUGGUUCACCUCCUUCCCAGACUCCCUAGCUUUAGCAUGGUUGGGAAAGGAAGUUGAAAUAAGGUUUCCCACUGUAGACUCCCAGGUAGCUAAUUAGCUCGAUCCCUGGGGAUCGAGGGGGCUGCAGACACACUGCCUGCUAUAAUUCCCACCAGCGGGUUAAGUGGCUCGGUUUUGGAGGUGGGCAGCCUGUCAAUAUAGGGUCUAGCAAAUGGGGCAGGGGAGUCAGGCAGGACCUUCAGCUCCAUCCCUUGGAGAGGACCGAAAAGGAGAUAUAAGAGAAUCUUUGUUCCAAGUAACCGGCCCUAGGAGAAACCAAUUGUGACAACUGGAGAUCUUUCAGGAGGGACACAUACCCAGGACACGUGGUACAGGGAAUCCAGGCUAGUGUUACUUACAGUCUCCAAAACCUCUUGAACAAGAGCAGCCCCAGGUUUACCUUUGCAGCAUUUGCCAGGCCACAGCACCACCUACAGGGAAACCCCAGAAUCAACUCCGGACUUAUUAGGGCCAGUCCCAAGAGUCUAUCAUGAUUGUGGACAGCAAACAUAGAGGAAAAAGCUCAUCUCCCAGGCCCAACCCGUUCCAGCAACCCUGUCUGUGAUUUGGGCAGGUAUUACUAUACCCAUGUGAAACAUAGAGAAACCGGACUCCUGAAAGCUAGAACCAGCCAGCCAGCCAGCCGGUGGCAGGGCCAGUCAGGAUUGCAACCGGGGUGUUUGCUAAACGUUCUUGGGCUCUACUGUCUCUCCCCACACAGAAAACAAGGAAGGGGGGCAUGUGGUAGGUGGAAAAUGGAACAAAGAUCUGAAGGUUGGAGGGUCCUGAGAGCCAGAAUUUGUGUUGGCUGCCUAACAGGACAAGCCCCCACCCACUCCAGUGGGGAAGUAGAAUGGUUCCCCAGGCAGAACAGCCAAUUACAAUACAACACAUGGAAAAUUGAGCUACUUAAGAUUGUCGAGGUGGAGCGCAUGGAUUUUUUUUUCUAAACGUUUCAAAAGCUGGCAAGAUAAUUGAGGACAUUAUAUUUUCCCUUCCAGAGCUUGUCUCAGUAACAAGCCCUUGUCAGCCAGAACUCAGAGGCCAAGGCUGUCUUCCCUAAUGGGAAGGAGAUGCAUAAGCUGUCUAAAUUCCCCAAUUUUCCUGAAAUAUAAAACCUAUAAUCUCCUGAGCUCUGUUGGUACUUGGCCAUGCAGACUCCCGAGUUCAUAUUUAAGUACUGUCAGAAAAAAAAAAAAAAAAAAAAAAAAAGCUGGCAGCCCAAUAGGGUCAACAUUGGUGGUUAGUGUUCAAUUAGUCACAUGAGAAGUGUCCACCAGAGGUGGUUCACAGUGAGUGUAUCUCUGGAACACCUCUACAAGUGUUCUAGUUUGCUUUUCUGUUGCUAUGACAAACACCACAAACAAAAUCAACUUAAGGGAAGAAAGGAUUUAUUUUAGCAUAAUUCUUCCAGGCCCC
rnacentral:lncRNA from 1 species